rnacentral:rRNA from 1 species
CGGAAGGGUGAGGAACGCGUGAGUAAUCUGCCCCCCAGUUGGGAAUAACAGUUGGAAACGACUGCUAAUACCGAAUGUGGCUUAAGCUUCGCCUGGAGCUUUGGCUAAAGAUUUAUCGCUGGGGGAUGAGCUCGCGUCCCAUUAGCUAGUUGGAGAGGUAACGGCUCACCAAGGCGACGAUGGGUAGCUGGUCUGAGAGGAUGGUCAGCCACACUGGGACUGAGACACUGCCCAGACUCCUACGGGAGGCUGCAGUCGAGAAUCUUGGGCAAUGCGCGAAAGCGUGACCCAGCAAUGCCGCGUGUAUGAUGAAGGCCCUCGGGUCGUAAAGUACUGUCUCCCGUGACGAAAUUUGACGGUAGCGGGGAAGGAAGCCACGGCUAACUACGUGCCAGCAGCCGCGGUAAUACGUAGGUGGCGAGCGUUGUUCAGAUUUAUUGGGCGUAAAGGGUCUGUAGGAGGUUUGUUAAAUACGGGGUGAAAUCCCGAAGCUCAACUUCGGAAUUGCCUUGUAGACUGACGGACUAGAGUACCGGAGAGGUAAGCGGAAUACCAGGUGUAGCGGUGGAAUGCGUAGAUAUCUGGUAGAACACCAAAAGCGAAGGCAGCUUGCUGGACGGAAACUGACUCUGAAAGACGAAAGCAUGGGGAGCAAACAGGAUUAGAUACCCUGGUAGUCCAUGCCGUAAACGUUGUCAACUUGAUGUGGGGGGAUUUAGUCCUCUCCGUAUCGAAGCUAACGCGAUAAGUUGACCGCCUGGGGACUACGGCCGCAAGGCUAAAACUCAAAGGAAUUGACGGGGGCCCGCACAAGCGGUGGAGCAUGUGGCUUAAUUCGAGGCAACGCGAAGAACCUUACCUGGUCUUGAAAUAUAUCGGAUCG